UACGUAGGGUCCGAGCGUUGUCCGGAAUUAUUGGGCGUAAAGGGCUCGUAGGCGGUUUGUCGCGUCGGGAGUGAAAACUCAGGGCUCAACCCUGAGCGUGCUUCCGAUACGGGCAGACUAGAGGUAUUCAGGGGAGAACGGAAUUCCUGGUGUAGCGGUGGAAUGCGCAGAUAUCAGGAGGAACACCGGUGGCGAAGGCGGUUCUCUGGGCAUUACCUGACGCUGAGGAGCGAAAGCAUGGGGAGCGAACAGG
rnacentral:rRNA from 1 species